GACGAACGCUGGCGGCGUGCUUAACACAUGCAAGUCGAACGGAAAGGCCCUGCUUUUGUGGGGUGCUCGAGUGGCUAACGGGUGAGUAACACGUGAGUAACCUGCCCUUUACUUUGGGAUAACUUCAGGAAACUGGGGCUAAUACCGGAUAGUAGCUCCUGCUGCAUGGUGGGGGUUGGAAAGUUUCGGCGGUUGGGGAUGUACUCGCGGCUUAUCAGCUUGUUGGUGGGGUAUUGGCUUACCAAGGCUUUGACGGGUAGCCGGCCUGAGAGGGUGACCGGCCACAUUGGGACUGAGAUACGGCCCAGACUCCUACGGGAGGCAGCAGUGGGGAAUAUUGCACAAUGGGCGGAAGCCUGAUGCAGCAACGCCGCGUGCGGGAUGACGGCCUUCGGGUUGUAAACCGCUUUCGCCUGUGACGAAGCGUGAGUGACGGUAAUGGGUAAAGAAGCACCGGCUAACUACGUG
rnacentral:rRNA from 1 species